rnacentral:rRNA from 1 species
AUUGAACGCUGGCGGCAGGCUUAACACAUGCAAGUCGAGCGGGGGAAGGUAGCUUGCUACUGGACCUAGCGGCGGACGGGUGAGUAAUGCUUAGGAAUCUGCCUAUUAGUGGGGGACAACAUCCCGAAAGGGAUGCUAAUACCGCAUACGUCCUACGGGAGAAAGCAGGGGAUCUUCGGACCUUGCGCUAAUAGAUGAGCCUAAGUCGGAUUAGCUAGUUGGUGGGGUAAAGGCCUACCAAGGCGACGAUCUGUAGCGGGUCUGAGAGGAUGAUCCGCCACACUGGGACUGAGACACGGCCCAGACUCCUACGGGAGGCAGCAGUGGGGAAUAUUGGACAAUGGGGGGAACCCUGAUCCAGCCAUGCCGCGUGUGUGAAGAAGGCCUUAUGGUUGUAAAGCACUUUAGGCGAGGAGGAGGCUACUUUAGUUAAUACCUAGAGAUAGUGGACGUUACUCGCAGAAUAAGCACCGGCUAACUCUGUGCCAGCCGCCGCCGUAAGAC